ACAAGUAUUGCACCGGAUACGUUCCCCCACGCCCCAUCCCCUCCCUGCAUCUCCGCCGCCGCCGCCGCCCCCCAAUAUCCACCGCACGAGGGCUCGCCCACCCGCGCCGGCGACGCGCCUCCACCAUCCGCUCAUCCCAUCCUGGCUCCUCCGGCGUUGGACAUCGGCCGCGUCUACUCCACCGCUCCCUGCCCGCCCCCAAGAAGCCCCGCAGCUCUGCGUCCGCCGCCGCGGGCGGCAAGCCUCCCGUGAUCGUCUACUACCGCUGUCGCGCCCGCUCAAGCACGAGCUGCUCAGCCUGGGGUCUGCCCCGCCUGCAUUGGGCGCGGAUACAGACGGGGAGGAGUUGCUGGGGCGACGGCAGCCGAGGCGCAGAGGGGGAGUGCAGAAGGAGAGCACUUCGGCGCCCCGGAGGCGACGGCGCCGCAGCAGCCAGCUGGAGGCGGCCUCUCCAUCUGAGAGGAGAUGGGUAGAGUAAGUUGGAUCUGUGCUUGCUUCGCAAUGAAAUUCUCCUCACGGCUUCAGCAACAAGGAACGGCCAACUAGAAUACUUGUUGUCCGUGUAAUUUUGACGCUGGCUUUGUCGCAAGUUGGAAAUUCAGGGUGCCGAUCCGCAGGCGUUUGUCGGUUUAGUGUGCAAGGUUUUCUGGCCCCAAGAUGAUGAUUGAUACAAGAGUUCCAUCACAGCCUACACGGAACUAACCAAGAACUCUGUGGAGUAUGAAGACCUUACCCUAGCUAAUGAAAGGAUACAAUUUUCCAUUUCAUCUGAGGAAAUGAAGUGCCUGAACCUGAAAUUUGGAACAUCUAAACUGGAUAAGAAGGGAUACGAUGAGCUACUUGCACUUGCUGUCAGCUUUCAUGACUACCAAGGUCUUGAUCCAGAUGAUCUAGUGUGGGCUAAAAUAACAGGUACUCCUAUGUCUUUUCCUUACGAGUGCCGAUGCUUCUAGCUGUUAACUGCGAUUAGAUGCCAAUGGUCCUUUCUGUUUAUUCUUUCUGUCAUCACAAGUUUUAUUGCAUUGUUUGUAGUCAUUGUCCAGAUUAUUUUGAACUUCUACCGUGUGAUACUUUAUUUAUCUGAAAGAAAAGGUGUGCUGGUGAUGCAUACAUUAUGGCUGUACCAACUUGGACCUAUUUUUCAAAGCCCUAGAAGGCAAUGAUGGGUUAUAAUUAAUGCUUCUGCGCUGGCCUGGUGGUGAGAAGAUGAGCAGAAUAUAUCGGAUUAGGCACACGACCUGGUAUAAUAUAGGUGAUAAGAGUACAUCAUGAAAAUAGUUUCAACAGUUCAAUAAUUUUAACAUCCCCCAUGUCUGAAAGUGGUACCGCUACUUCAUACUGAAAUUUCUGUACCUACUACAAACUCUACAACUCUAUGGCCAAAUUUAGUAUUGGUCCUUUGUGUAUUUUUCUUCAUAUAUAAUUUCCAGAGCUGGCAGAAGAAACUAAUCUGAUCCAUUUCAUACUUUUACAAAAUUGAAUCAAAAGAAACUACUUCCAUUUCAGGAAUUGUUCCCACACUGACAUGGAACAUAUGCUUGCUGACAAUUUUACAUAUAUCUUUAUUGCGUCAACAUGAUAUAAACUACUUCCACUGUAUCUUCAUCUUCGAUGUUACAAUUAAAUUCAUUCACUGCAGUAUUAGCUAAUUUCUCUUACUACCUACCUCUAUGUAGCAUUUUCUAAAGGCACUGCAGUCCUACCUAAUCCCUCUUAGUCUGUGAUGUAUACCUGAUUACCUGUGUGUAGAUUUGUGAAGGAAUAGACUGUGUGAAAGUUUCUUUUUUAUAUUACUGCUGCUUACCCAGUUAUUUUCCUCUCAAACCGCAGAAUUUAGUUAUUUCAGUAUUAUGUUCGAUUCUAUUGAAAUUCAUAUGUGCCAUUUCUAUAGGAAACCCAUAGCUUCCUUAUUUCUCUAACUACAGAUUCUCUGAACACAUACUCCACAACACAAUGACGAGGAGCCUCCAGAGUACAUCAUCCCUGGUACCCGUGGUAUGGGCUAUGGUCUAUGGAGGCGUAUUGUUCGGUUAAGUUGAGUGUGGGUAGUAGUGGUCUUGUAUGCACUCUUGCGUGCUCCAUAAUCUUCCCCCAUGGACAUCCUCUGAUCUGAAAUAUUUAUCUUACCAAUUUGAUGUUGGUUCACAUGCAGGUUCAGGUCAAAGAGUAGCGCCAUGCAUGAGGACUGUUGGUGAUCUUUUUAUUGCGACAUAACGCUUUCGAGUUACAUGAGAUAUGGUCAUUCUCUAAAGGUAGAUCUAUUACAUAUUGAUUGAAAAUAGGAUAGUUGGGCUCUUGUAUUAUUUUAUUUUUCAGUGCAAAGUUAUUGUACAGGAUAAGUAGGAAAUUUUGGAGAGUCUUGCUUGCUAACUUGUUUACUUUUUCUCCUAUAUAGGAGUCGGGUAGAGGGCUCACACAAUGUUUCCAUUAGUAUGCUUGAUGCUUUUAUCGUGUUGUCUUGCUGACCUUAUCACAUCAAUCAAUACUAGAAAAAUCUGAAUGCAGUGAAGAGUAAGUAUUUAUUGAAGAAAUCUUAUAGCAGGACUUAUAAAUUAUUUCCAAAUUAAUCGUCCUUUUGCCAAACUGAUGGUUGAUAUGUUCAUGAUUUUAAAGUUUAGAGACUGGUACCUGGACUCGUUCCACGAUAUCCGGUAUUUUCCAGAAGUGGGGAACCGGGUUGACGAGCUUGCUUUCACGCAGAUGAGUAAGAUGAUCGAAGUGUGGCACAGUAAUGUGGUUCCGACUAUGCUUUUGGAGUGCAACAGCUGAAAAAUUAACAUCUCAGCUCAAGGAAGCUUCCCCCAGGAUUACAUGUCAAGGAUUGGUAUUCAGUUAUUCACAUGCUGGUAUGUUUGUGAACAUGGUACUACUCUUCUCUCUGGAGCUAUAUUUAUAAGCUUUGUCUCAAUUCUUGUCAUUAUAUCCUAAAUCUUGCUUGUGUUUCAGAACAAAUGAAGGAUUAUGUACCUUUUCUAACGGCUGAUUAUGUACCUUUUCUUUUGGUUGAUUUGCAAAUUUGACUUGUAUUGUCAGAUAGUUUAUUUUGGUUGCUUAAUUCGAUAUGUUUUGUGUUCAAACUUCAUGCUACUUGAGCUAACUGUAGAGCGUUAUAUGGCUUAGAGUAAAAAUUUGUAAAAAAAAAACAAAUUUGCUUGAUGUGUGAGUUCUGUAUCAAAUCAUAUAUAUGUAAGUCAAGUGCUGAUUUUUAGAGAUUUGUUCUGGGUUACACCAGCUUGUUUAGUUUCUGGGCAGCAUGUGGCUCUGCAUGAUCCUAAACCACAGCCUGACAUCAUAGGCCUCAUCAAUACAAAAUUGUCCCCCAUGUAGGUAGGUCGAAUUGCUACUGAUGGUUCCAUUUGUUUGAGGGAAUGUGGAUUAGCUACUGAAAUCAACAUAUAUGGAGCGUAAGCCCAGCCAAUUACCUUUGUUUGUUUCGUGGAUUAAAUAAUGUGUAACCACCAGCACCUCUUUGUUUGUGUUGCUGAAACAGUGGGUUCUCACCUGAUGAUCAGGAAGUAUGUUAGUUGAGAUACGAAUAAACAAGACAUAAUCUGUACAAUCUUACAUAUUUAUUUAUUUUGACAGCUUCUUUUGAAUUGGUUGAACAUAGUUGGCACGGCACAGGUUCACGAAUGAUGAAUGGUUGUAGAUGAUUUCUUAUUUCCACACUUCCACUUCAGGUUGUGUGAUUUUCCUAUCAGGCAUUUACGGAACUCAUUGCCAGUUAUAUUCAGAUCAAAACAAUGAAGUAUUAUAUAUGUUUUGUUUUGUUGGGUUUUUUCAGUAGCAAUGUGACGAUAUGCUUGAAUGAAUUGCUUAGUAGUAGUAUAGAUACCUAGCAUGUUCCCUCCCGCUAAUGCUCUUCCUUUAUUUUCUCCAAUGAAGGCCAUCAUAAUGUGGAACAAUUGUUAAAAGAGAUCUUGAUCGCUUUUCGUUGUUUCUCCUGCACGAUGCAUACAUACGUAUACAAGUUGCAAUUAAUUGGUGAGAUACCUGAAAUGCAAAUACUCCCUCCGUUCCAAAAUAGAUGACUCAAUUUUGUACUAACUUUGUACUAAAGACAGUACAAAGUUGAGUCAUCUAUUUUGGAACGGAGGGAGUAUAUAUCAAGGAAAAGGCUUCUUGUACUGUCCCUCGCUGGUGUUGAGAGAAAUUAUGUCAAUGUCGGCGAGUUCGAAGGGCACCGUCACUGCUCCACGACUGCCUGCUUGGGUACUUAUCCCCUGGAGCCUGGACAUGAUGCCAGGGCUGCAGUCGAUCACGUCGUCAAACAGGCCGAUGGCAAGGUCGGCCGACCUGCUGUCAACAUCGCGAAGUACUAGCAGGAUGAGCUCAUGGAGCUGCGCCAGAAGCUCCUGCUGCCGGCUUCCUCAAACCCAGAUUUCCUUCUUAUUUUUCCCAUGUUCGUUUUCAGUUCGGAGCUGCCUCUUGGAGAGUAGCAGAUUGCUGAAAUGAGGACCAAGGAACAUUUAUUCAUAAGUUGAUGAAAUUAUAACCCAGAUUUCCUUCUUAUAUGUUUUCAUUCUUCAUGUUUCUUUCUGCAUUUAUUCAUAAGUUGAUGAAAGCUUUUUGUAUUGUUGCAGCCUGGUCAUAACUAGAUUAUGUAAUGGCCAGUCCUGAUUGAAGCAAUUCUCUUGCAAGUGUGUUGAAUAAAUAACUCUUCUUUUGUAGAAAUGCAAAUAUUUUUGUUUAAUGUCU